rnacentral:rRNA from 1 species
UAUUUUAGUAGAUGAUUUAUUUAUUUUAUUAGUGGGUAUAGCACUGAAUAUCUCGUUACCUAGAAGGGAGUAUGAAAAUACUUACUUUGGAUAUUUAAUCUCAGAAUAACUAAUAAGAAAAAUUAGAUAAGUUAUCAGACUUUUUGCGAUAAGGUGAGAAGUCGAA